UACGUAGGGUGCAAGCGUUAAUCGGAAUUACUGGGCGUAAAGCGUGCGCAGGCGGUGAUGUAAGACAGAUGUGAAAGCCCCGGGCUCAACCUGGGAACCGCAUUUGAGACUGGCCGACUCGAGUUCGGGAGAGGAUAGUGGAAUUCCCAGUGUAGAAGUGAAAUUCGUAGAUAUUGGGAAGAACACCGAUGGCGAAGGCAGCCCCCUGGGUCAAGAUUGACGCUCAUGCACGAAAGCGUGGGGAGCAAACAGG
rnacentral:rRNA from 1 species